GGGCGGUUAGCUCAGGGGUUAGAGCACUUGCUUCACACGCAAGGGGUCACUGGUUCGAUUCCAGUACCGCCCACCA
rnacentral:tRNA from 1 species